rnacentral:lncRNA from 9 species
AGGAGAGAGGGGUGGAUGGCGCGUGGCUGCCGGGCACCCGGUCCAGGCUCCACCUAGACGUGCUCUACCUUCAUCCCCCUGCCUCUGAAAGGCCGCGUGGACAGGAGGCCCCCCGAGGAAGGGCAAAGGUAGAAUGGAGUUUAAUUUCCAUUUUAAAUUCACGUGGAAAAUUUCUCUCUGAUCAUCUGCAACUGAGGAUCUGAAAUUGUUAUCUGCAAAGACACCUACUCCCCAUGCCAUAGGUAAGCAAUGCUCCUAAUUUUUUUAUGUAUCCUUCCAGAAUUUCUUUAUGCAUAUAUAUGUUAAUUUGGCUAGAGAUUCUUCUUCUUUUUAAAAAAUUUUUUAUUAGAGGAUAGUUGAUUUACAAUGUGCUAAUUUUGGAUAGAGAUUCUUAAUACAGCUUUUUUGGAGCUCUAUCUCUAGGAAGGAAAUUAGUCGAAACCCAAUGACAUAGGGCUCUGAAGAUUUCCCCUAAUCAAGCGUAUGUAUGGGGGGCGAGUGGGCAUGAGGUACACCUCUCUGAAGGGGGAGAGCUUUGAAACAUGAAUAUGUAAAACAGUAAUUGAUAAAGCUCAUUACGAAGUGGCCAAGGAAUGCACUAAAGAGGAAAGUUGCCCCAAAUCUCUCUACCCCCAAAUAAUAAUAAUUCAUAUCAAUUGAAUAUCACAUCUGGGCCAGUGAGGUCCAGGAGAACUUUAUGUGAUAGUGGAAAUAUUUUCUCUGCUGUUUACCAUAACCACUUAUGCCUGUGGAGUGCUUGAAAUGUGGCUAGUGCAACUGAGGAUCUGAAAUUGUUUAUUUUACUUAAUUUUAACUUAAAUAUACCCAGCCACGUGUGUCUAGUGCCUGUUGUACUGGGUAGCGCAGCUCUAGACCCUUUGCAGUGCGUAUGUGUUAGUGGAAGAAUGUAAAGAGGCCGGCGAGGCCGACUAUUUUAGCACUGCCUGCCAGAAGCCUCAGAAGUGUGAUUACUAAUUAGCCUAGGAAUCCUGCUUGUGGGAAUUAUCUUAAAGUAAUGGUUAUGAAUUUGCUCAAACCUAGCUCUGAGAGUAUUUAUUAACAUGAAAAACCAGAACAUUGUAGAAAAAUGUUUAUUGAUGUGGGAAUGUGUUCACAACUGUCUGUUAAGUGAAAGGCAGGUUGUAAGGCAGGAUGAUUUCAUUAAAAUAUAAAGAGCCUAGAAAGAUAUACUGCAAACUGCUCAGUAAAUGGCAGGUACUCAGUAAAUAUGUGUUGAUGAAUGAGUAAAGGUUAAUAAGAGCACUGAGUGGUGAGAUGAUGCGUGAGUUUAUAUUUUUCUUCUGCUCCCUUAUUUAUAUUUUCUAACUACCCAUGGUAAAUACAUAUAUAUACCUUUGUAAGAAGAAAAACAUGUAUUGAGAAGUAUAGUUGCUGGGUCGUAAUAUUUCAGAGCUGGAAGGAACUUUGGAGACAAAGGCACACAUGGCCAGUUAAUGGCAGAAACCCAGAUUUCUCAACUAUACACAAACAUCUUCCGAGCCAAGGAGAAAAGAUUGCUGGAUGGUCUCCUGUCCUGGACUGUCCCUGGCCAGGACAGAGGCUCUCAGCAUGGCAAUUCAGGAGUGGAUUUAGAGAAGAAGGAACAAAGGGUAUCAUGCUUCUCAACAAGAUACAAAACAGGAUGAAAAAUCUCACUAAUAAACUCUGGGCAUCAUGAUGAGGCUUUAGCUGGGCCUGCUUCCCCCCAAAGCCCCCUCACUGGCGAAUUCUUCCAAACAUUUUAAGAGGAAUUAAUCUGAUCUUUCUCAAAUUCUUGCAAAAAUUAGAAGAGGAGGGAACAUUUCCAAACUCAUUUUACGGCAUUAGUCUUACUCUGAUACCAAAACCAGACAAAAACACCACCAGAAGAGAACAUUAUAGGCCAGUAUCCCUGAUGAACAUACAUACAAAAAUCCUCAACAAAAUACUCACAAACUGAGUUCAACAAUAAAAGGAUCAUACGCCAUGAUCAAGUGGACUUUUUUCCAGGGAUGCAAGGAUGGUUCAACAUAUGCAGAUCUAUCACUGUGAUACAGCACAUUAACAAAACAAAGGAUAAAAGCCAUAUGAUCAUCUCAGUAGAUGCAGAAAAAAACAUUUGACAAGAUUCAACAUCCAUUUAUGCUGAAAACUCUCAACAAAGUGGCUAUAGAGGGAAUGCAUCUCAACAUAAAGCCGUAUGUGACAAGCCCACAACUAACAUCAUACUCAUUGGUAAAAAACUGGACGUUUUCUUUCUAACAUCAGGAGCAAGACAAGCAUGCCCACUCUUGCAGCUUUUAUUCAGCAUAGUAUUGGAAGUUGUAGCAAGAACAAUUAGGAAGCUAUAUUAUCUUCAUAAUUUUUCUGAUUAUCUAAAACGAUUCUACAAAAUAAGGGUCUAUUAAAACAUUAAUAAUCUAGGCCCUUCUCUCAAGGAAUGAAGUAGCUGGAGGCCUGAAUUCCAAGUUGGUUUCCUGGGUUCAAACUUUGGUUCCACCAGGACCUGGCAGCGGGCCCUAGAGAGGGCCCUUUUGGUGGCCAGUUUCUUCUUCCAUCAAGUGGGGUAAUACGCAGACCUACCUCACGGGGGCGCUGUGAGAACCAAAUGAGAUACUUGGUACAAAAUGUCAGUAACACCCCGUUUCCAUUUAGAAAUCAAGGCAGAUAAUAAAGGGGUUGAGAGCAUGCAUUUACGACCAGACAGUCUGGAUUCAAAUCCUGGUUCCUCCAGGGCCUGCUCAUAAAAUUGUGGGCUGGUCAUUUGUUCUAAGCCUGUUUCCUUAGCUAUCAAAUGGGAUGAAUAGCACCCACCCACAAGGGGGGUUGGGAGGAUUGAUUGGGCCCCUGCGUGCAAAGCACCAGCACAGUGUGUGUGCAACAUAAGCAUUUGACCCGUCGGAGCUCAGCGAGGAAAGUAGUUGUGCAGCAAGAAUCCAAGAGGGGAGGAAAUAAAUAUGAAGGCUUCCCCCAGGAGGCGGUAGAAAGGGGCCCACUCUGGCUUCUGCACUGGGGCAGCUGAUUGGCCCACUUGACGGUCCUCCCAGGUCCUGUGUGACCUCUUCUUCCACCCCGUGAGGUCCUCUCAGGUCCCCAGCAUUGGAACAAAGCCUCGGUCUGCUGUUCUGCUCCUGUUCUCUUUCUGAACUCUGAUUCGGCCCUUAUCUCAGCCAGCUUUGCCCUGCUUGGCUGCCUGUCACAUUCAAUUCCAUUCCAGGGCUUUCAUCCUGCCCUCGGCCGAGUGUCCCUGAGUCUGAGGCUCUGGGACGUAGGGCCUGGUCUCUGCUGUCCUUGGCUUACACAAGCCUGAGCACUGUGUCUGGAACACAGCAACUUCUCGGUUCAUGGAGGCAGAACAGAAUAAAAUAAUUGCAAAGCCAAUUUCCAGGCCUUGAUGUAGCUGGGUUUCAAGGCACUGAGACACAAGGGUACGCUUCCCCCAUCAAAACAUAUCUUCCUUCUCUGGAUUCCCUCUAGUCCCAGAUUCUACGAGUAGAACUUCUUUGCUUUGGCUUAGGCUAAAUUAGGACCUCGCGCCUGAUAAAAAUGCAACAUUUUCUCUAUCAUUGUCUUAGCAGGGAACAGACAGUACAUUCAAAAGGGUUUAAGUGAAAAAUAAAAUCAGGCAAUUGGUGACAGGACUAUUUGCGGUGAAAUGGGCAGGAUGGAGGAACCAUCAGGGUUGGCGAGGGGCUCUGGGACUUGUGGCGGUGGACAGUUGUUAGUGUCUUAGGGUGGAAGGGCCAAAGGGAGCCCCAUGAGCGCUGAGCUGUGGAGGAGCCACCUCAAGGGGCACGAGGCUGCAGAGAUGCAGCUGCUGCCCAGUGGUGUGAAGCUGCAGUGGGGAUGGGACAUCUCCAUGCUCUUCUCCCCUUGCCCUCAGAUCGCCUGGCAGUGACCUCACUGGCCAAACCCAACCAGAAGCCAGAGGGUGAGGGGGCCUGGGUAACACGGUCCCCAGCGGUCAGCCUCUCUGGAACUGAGAAAGAGAGAAGAGGAGUCUGGGUUGGGAGUGAGGGAGGAAAAGGAGAGAAAGCCUUGCGAGGUGACAUAUGCUAGUUUUAUCAGUCGUGUACAAUUCAGUGUAAAUAAAGGCAUCAGAUCCUUCAGGAAGCACAGAGAAAGGAGACUAGGGACCAGGGUCCCGAAGUGUUAGAAAGAAAAGAGCAUCACUGAUGGGGAACUGAUUUCCCUAACCCCGACCCCUGCUUAAAAAAAAAAAAAAAAAA